rnacentral:rRNA from 1 species
CCUACGGGUGGCAUCAGUGAGGAAUAUUGGUCAAUGGACGAGAGUCUGAACCAGCCAAGUAGCGUGAAGGAUGACUGCCCUAUGGGUUGUAAACUUCUUUUAUAUGGGAAUAAAAUGUUCCACGUGUGGGAUUUUGUAUGUACCAUAUGAAUAAGGAUCGGCUAACUCCGUGCCAGCAGCCGCGGUAAUACGGAGGAUCCGAGCGUUAUCCGGAUUUAUUGGGUUUAAAGGGAGCGUAGGUGGAUUGUUAAGUCAGUUGUGAAAGUUUGCGGCUCAACCGUAAAAUUGCAGUUGAAACUGGCAGUCUUGAGUACAGUAGAGGUGGGCGGAAUGCGUGGUGUAGCGGUGAAAUGCUUAGAUAUCACGAAGAACUCCGAUUGCGAAGGCAGUUCACUGGACUGCAACUGACACUGAGGCUCGAAAGUGUGGGUAUCAAACAGGAUUAGAUACCCUAGUAGUC